rnacentral:sRNA from 1 species
CUCUAUCCCCCGCGUUAGGGAUAGUAGUGGAAAGCCCGGAGCGUACGGUGGACUUGUGUAAGGGCAAGGCGAGGACUUGGAACGGAUAGCCCGGGCCGCA